GUACGAAUCAUUGAUCGUCGGACCGAAGUUCAUAUGGAUCAAGAUAUCCAUAAUGCAGCGUAUUAUCUAAACCCGGCAAUUCAAUAUCGAUAUGCUCUCGGAACGCAAAAUAAUUUCCUAACGACACUACGAAAUGUUAUAUAUCGACUCUUGCCAAACACUACCGAGGCAGCCGAUGCUCUUAUGGAGGGUCGAUUAUUUCGAGAAACAGUUGGUUCAUUCUCCGACGUUGUAGCUAUAUCAUGCCGUUACACUAUGGAUCCUGUCGAGUGGUGGUUACAAUUUGGAGGCGAUGCACCACAUUUAAGGAAGGUUGCCGUUCGUGUACUUUCACAGACAACAACAUCUAGUGGUUGCGAACGUAAUUGGUCAACGUUUGCGUUGAUUCAUACGAAAGUCCGCAACAGACUCUCCUACAGACGGUUAGAGAAACUAGUAUAUGUCCAUUAUAAUAUGCGGCUAAAAUUGCGAUGUGCUGAGUUGGAUAAGGAGCCAGAGGAACCAGAUAUUGAUCCCAUUGACCUCCAAUUCUACAACGAAGAUUCAGAGCCAAUGUUAGAUUGGGUUG